GUAGAGAUGGCUCAGUGGUUAAGAGCACUGACUGCUACUCCAGAGGUCCUGAGUUCAAAUCCCAGCAACUAUG
rnacentral:tRNA from 1 species